AAGAUUCUGUGCAGUAAAAGUAAUGUUAAGAAACAAAACCAAAGCCGGAGGCAUCACAAUUCUGGACUUAAUGCUGCAUGACAAAGCUGUAAUUGUCAAGACAGUACUGUAUUGGCACAAAAACAGAUACAUAGAUCAAUGGAACAGAAGAAAGAAUCCAGAAAUGGACCCACAAACAU